rnacentral:lncRNA from 11 species
AUGAGGAAUGGUCAUGAGAUUCGGAAGUCCCACAGUAUCUUUGCGUGCUCAUUUUCCAAGACUUUUGCAGGAGACCCCGAGACGACGACGACGACGACAACGACACAGAGCCCCUCGCGUUACAGAUCGAGGGGGAACUCCGGUGAGUGUUGUCCUGCAUGCGUGGGGAGAGCGGGUCGUCUGCACAUCGCGUUUCUAUGCACAUUCAGGCACGACUGCCACACGCUGCUUGACGGGAUUUGGGGCUGCAUCUGGGUCGAGGGAAUCUAUAUAUAUAAAAGGGUAAUGGCGUUUCGGCCUCGGACAAAACCACAAAACUACACAUCCCAGAAACACUAAACUUGGCACCACAACCCCUCAUCCAUGCCAAAUUACAGAAAUCCCCCCAAAACCAAAAAUUACUAUAUAUCUAUAUAUAUAAAUGAGUGAUGGUAUCACGGCGACCGCCAAAACAACAAAACUAAACACCCAACAACCUCGAAAAUCGACAACACAACCCAUCAUCCACGCCUCAAGGUUGAUACAACAAAAAGAAAAGAAAAAUAAAGUCCUAAUUAGAGGGAGAGGAAUAAUUGUUUUAUCCAAUUACUGCCAGUUAGAAGGCUAAGCUCCGCCCACUUGG